CCACGGAAUAGGCAGAGAUCAAGGAAUGGAAAAUUACCCAGCGCCUGCGCAAUAAUCUUGUUUACAUUCGGUGCCUGCCGGAUGCAGGCGCCAUCUUGUAAUGGAGAAUGCAGGGACGGCUCCCUACAACGGUUGGUAAUGCCACCAUGGGACAAGGCUAGUGGCUUGGAGGCUGAACAGGAAGCUGGAGGGACUGAGUCUUUUGAGUGAUACAGGCAUACCACAACUCAAGAUAUUCCCAAAGAGAACCCCAAACAUGUUUGCUCAUUGACUACUUCAUUCAGCAAAUAUAGUGCAGUCAGUUACUUACUAAAUAAGUGAGUUCUCAGAACAUUUCUGAAGCUAUAUGUCUACACCAUUAUUUAACAGAAAGGGGGAGUUUGUCCUUCUGUUCCAGUAGAUCUUUGCCUAUCUUUGAAGUUCUGUCAAGCCACAAGCAAGGGGAUGUGAAAAUGGAUUUACAUAGGUUUUUAUGUGUUCCUCACUCUUCCCUAUAAAAAAGAACUCCAAAGACCACUCACAAACAACAACAGAAAAUCCAGUGUGAAUUGUGUGCAACCCAGUAAGAGAAUGGGGGUGCUAUCCAGCUUUCCCACAGUGGACCAAGAGAAACAACUCUUGCUGGCCCGACUUCAGUUGGAAAAUAUGAACUCUUCCAUUCACACGAGGACUUCUGGAAAAGCUAAGGCAGCAUCUAAGUUAUGGCUUUUAGUUGGGAGAUGAUGCUUCCCAGCAGUUUAGUUCCAGUAAGAGAGACAGAGGAGACCUCUGAGAUUACCUGCAUGGACAUCACCACAGGGUACAGAUACCCCCAGGAAGCACAUAGCCUUGCUGGAGGAGGGUCCAGAUUGGUUCUAAACUUCCCUGAGUGCUUCUCAGUUUGAUUCCUUAUUUCCUUUUUUGAAAGUUCAUCUACAGGUCUUAUAUGAGUGUGACACACCCUUGACUGGUGUGCAGCCUGGAACCUAUUCAACCAUAGUUGAAUAGCUACAAUCCUGGUCAAACCUCUUCUCAGAAUCUUUCAAACCACAGCAUUGCCAUAAAAUGACUUACAAGUUUGGGGUUCUUUCCCCCUUUUUUUUCUGUUUCAUGCUCCUUUCUACAGUUUACAUUUCAUUAAUACUAAUAUAAACAAUUCCUUCUUCAUUUUAUGAAGAAUGUUUCUGUCUUUCUUCCUCCAUCCUACUGAUGUGUUGUUGUACCAAGAGUGUGUCACACCCAGGGUGACAAAGGGCUACACAUUCCAUUAAAAUGAACAUCUUAUGCUGACCUUUCAGCAUAAGAUGUCACGUCUGUCGAUGUGACAGACGAAGAGGACGAAGCAGAUGAGAAAGAUGAUCCGGGUGCCUCCACAACAAACAUCAGUUCUGAUAAAUCUCUGUUCCAAAACACCAACAUGGAAGAUGUUCUCAAUGCUCGGAAAUUGGAGCAAGACUCUCUUCGGGAUGAGUCCCAAAGGAAGAAGGAACAGGACAAGCUGCAGAGGGAGAAGGACAAACUAGCCAAGAAGGAGCGCAAGGAGAAGGAAAAGAAAAGGACACAGAGAGGGGAAUGCAAGCGAUAACCUCGGCCACUCUGUUCCUUCCACCCAUGAAUUGAUUGUGCAUCUAUAUAUUUAAGAGAACUGAGACUAAUGCAUUUCCCAAAAUUUCUUAAGGCUUUCCCCCUCUGUUUACAUGUUCAAAAGGAAAAUCACAAUCACUUGUUACUACAAAAUGUGCCAUGUUUGGUAGUGUGGGCAAUCAAUUCUAGUUAGUAUCUUUACCAAAGAUCUGGAAUUAGGGUAACCUUUUUAUUUUAGUACUGAAAUCCUGUGCUCUUCUGGCUUUUUAAAAAAGGUCUUCCCUCACUUUGUAUAAUUAGCCAGAUUCAGAAAGUUAACGUCCUGAAGGAAACAUGAUCAUUCCUUCUGAGAUUUUAAAAAAAAAAAAAGGAAAAAGUGCAAGUUGCUUCUAUGGCAAUAUUUGCCUCAAAAUGUAGCGGGUUUUUGUUUUGAAACAGGGUCUCAUUCUGUAGUCCAGGCUGGCCUUGAACUCGGUGCAGUGCCCUUGCCUGUUUCUCAGCCUUAGAAUCCUAAGCUUAUCUUAUGGCUGAAAUAGCUAAUGAAGAGCUACCUAGAUCCAGAUUUUAUAUGACAUCAGACUAGGAAAGUGGAAGAUGGUAUUUGGAGUGUGAUACAUCUGGGCUCAAGCUAUAGAUGUGUUGGGUGCCUGCUUAGCACAAAAGGCCCUGGGAUUGAUCCCCAGUACUGAAGAAAAACAAUCUAUGGGAGAAUCAACUGUCUUUUAAAAUGGAGCGCUACAUACUUUUCAUGUAGUCUAGGACUUAAGAAGUAUGUGUCAAUUUGCGAUAUAAAGUUAUUGUUAGCUAA
ensembl:lncRNA